GGAGAGGUGUCCGAGUGGUUUAUGGUCCUGGUCUUGAAAACCAGCGUAACGAAAGUUACCGGGGGUUCGAAUCCCCCCUUCUCCG
rnacentral:tRNA from 2 species